rnacentral:lncRNA from 1 species
GUUUAUGAUGUGAUGAUUGUGUUGUUAUAUGAUGAAUGUAUAUGAUGUGAUGAUUAUGAUAUUAAUGAUGACUAGAAGUUGAUUGAUGAUUUAAUGAAGUAUUAUAUGAAGAAUUAUUAUUAUUAAUUGAUGAAGUUUAAGUUGUUAAAUGCAUCUGAUGAAUUAAAUGCUUAUUAUUAUUGAAUGUGAAAUCUCACCCCUUCUGCUUGGAAAAGUUGCCUUUACAAUUGGGUAACUUGCAGGUAAUCAAGGUUAGUUGGUGAAGGGAGUGACUCUCUCACGUGUCGUCU